AUGAACGCUGGCGGCGUGCCUCAUACAUGCAAGUCGAGCGAACAGACGAGGAGCUUGCUCCUCUGACGUUAGCGGCGGACGGGUGGGUAACACGUGGAUAACCUACCUAUAAGACUGGGAUAACUUCGGGAAACCGGAGCUAAUACCGGAUAAUAUAUUGAACCGCAUGGUUCAAUAGUGAAAGACGGUUUUGCUGUCACUUAUAGAUGGAUCCGCGCCGCAUUAGCUAGUUGGUAAGGUAACGGCUUACCAAGGCAACGAUGCGUAGCCGACCUGAGAGGGUGAUCGGCCACACUGGAACUGAGACACGGUCCAGACUCCUACGGGAGGCAGCAGUAGGGAAUCUUCCGCAAUGGGCGAAAGCCUGACGGAGCAACGCCGCGUGAGUGAUGAAGGUCUUCGGAUCGUAAAACUCUGUUAUUAGGGAAGAACAAAUGUGUAAGUAACUAUGCACGUCUUGACGGUACCUAAUCAGAAAGCCACGGCUAACUACGUG
rnacentral:rRNA from 1 species